GAAUGUUUCAUGUUAUUCUAACUUGAAAAGAAACAAAGCCAUUACUUAGAAGUCUGAGUUAAACCUCGGUUGGUGUAAAAAUCUCUCCCCCAUCACCCCCAAAACUUUUUUCAGGUUACUGAUUUUGAAUGAGUCAGCUGAAAGAAAAGAAAAGAAAGAUUUAGAUAGAAAUAGGUAGAUUUAGAUAGAAAAGCCAGCAAGAGAGAGGUUGGGGAUGCCUGGGGUAGUGCCUUUAUUUUACCGUCAACACGAUAUUUCUUAACACCUCGUUGCACCUUUUAGUGUCAAAAGAUGGUAAUAAUAGUGAUGCGCAUGCUGUAUUCUCUGUCUGUUUCCCUUCCCACAACAACUUUGUGUGCAGGUUGUAGACUUCUUUGGUCACCUAUCCAUCAUCUUCCAAAAGACGGAUAAAAUAGGACACGGAAAAAUGCUAAUUUAGAUAUAGUAAAUUAUAAUUAUAGUAAUUAUAACCUAACGGCAGGCCUGUCAACUAAGCUUUCACUUGGCAGGUACGUAUUUAAAUUAAAUCCUGUGAAAUGGAUUUGAGUCCAUGAAGACUGCUACUGUUAAUUACCCAUCCUUCACCUUAAGGUCCCAGAGCAGGUGACAACAUUGAAACACAAUAUUAUAAACAGCUUAAAAACAAUAAUAGAAAUAAGGUGGGUCCGAAAACUGUACAACUCAAGUGCCAAAAGCCAGGGCAAAGAGGUGCAUUGUCAACAUUUGCUGUGUAAUGAAGGUGCCAGAUGCAUUUUGGGAGGGAGUUCCACAAUUUAGGGUGCUACCAUAGAGAAUGUCCUCUUCCCCACCCAGCUUCUGAGGGCAGAGAACUACCAAGAGGACCCAGGAAUUUAGGGGCCUAUGGCACCCACAUACCCACAAAAAACAAUAUAUUUAUAACCCGGGUGCUGCCAACUGUUGAUGGGCAGCUUCAAGGCCUCCUCUGCUCUCCUGCGUGAUGCUUCUUUAUCUUGAAACUGGGCUUGGAUCAGACGGCCUUUCAAAUAAUAGAGGACAGUCCUUCAAACAGAAAUCUACCUCUGGGCAGGACACACGAUCACCGUAGUUGUAUUGCAACCCAAUGGGUUUCUGCACUUCAACGAGGCAGCACCUUGUUUUCUUUAAUUAUGGCAGUAGAUGAGGCCAUGCAGUGAAUCACCUUACCUUUUCCACUCCAGGAGAUUUGCUAAUCACAUCUACCUCCUGUUCAGCUCAUCUUCCUAGUGUGCUCAUCCAUGC